AAUGAACGCUGGCGGCAUGCCUAACACAUGCAAGUCGAACGAAGGCUUCGGCCUUAGUGGCGCACGGGUGCGUAACGCGUGGGAAUCUGCCCUUGGGUUCGGAAUAACAGUUAGAAAUGACUGCUAAUACCGGAUGAUGUCGUAAGACCAAAGAUUUAUCGCCCAAGGAUGAGCCCGCGUAGGAUUAGCUAGUUGGUGGGGUAAAGGCCUACCAAGGCGACGAUCCUUAGCUGGUCUGAGAGGAUGAUCAGCCACACUGGGACUGAGACACGGCCCAGACUCCUACGGGAGGGAGCAGUGGGGAAUAUUGGACAAGGGGCGAAAGCCUGAUCCAGCAAUGCCGCGUGAGUGAUGAAGGCCUUAGGGUUGUAAAGCUCUUUUACCCGGGAUGAUAAUGACAGUACCGGGAGAAUAAGCUCCGGCUAACUUCGUG
rnacentral:rRNA from 1 species